rnacentral:tRNA from 9 species
ACCUACUUAACUCAGUGGUUAGAGUACCGCUUUCAUACGGCGGGGGUCAUUGGUUCAAAUCCAAUAGUAGGUA